CGAAGGAUGCAAGCGUUAUCCGGAUUCAUUGGGUUUAAAGGGAGCGUAGGUGGCCUUAUAAGUCAGUGGUGAAAUCCUGUUGCUUAACAGCAGAAUUGCCAUUGAUACUGUAGGGCUUGAGUAUAGUUGCCGUUGGCGGAAUAUGACAUGUAGUGGUGAAAUACAUAGAGAUGUCAUAGAACACCGAUUGCGAAGGCAGCUAACGAAACUAUAACUGACACUGAGGCUCGAAAGUGCGGGGAUCAAACAGGAUUAGAUACCCUGGUAGUCCGCACUGUAAACGAUGAUUACUCGCUGCUAGAGGGCAACUUUUAGUGGCUUAGCGAAAGCGAUAAGUAAUCCACCUGGGGAGUACGCCGGCAACGGUG
rnacentral:rRNA from 1 species